UGAAUGGAAGUCGAUGGGGCGAAAAGUGGUACCGACUGGGAAAAUCUCUUCUUCACCGCACACUAUACUACGAUUAUGGAGAAGAGAAGAAAGACGCCCGAUUCAACAUUGCAAACGAGCGAUUAAGCGAUGCGGCUGCUACCAUGAGUACACAAAGCGAUGUGCCAUGAGUGUUUACUAGAGCCCAGCAACUCACGGAUUCGGAUUCCCGGAUUUGAUGGAAAAAGAAGAGUCAGCCGCUCCUGUCUUGUGCUCUGCAGUGUGGUCCACUUGUCUUUGCACCCUGGAAGGGCAAUGCUGUCACAAGGCAGUUUUUUUCUCUGCAGUGUGGUCCACUUGUCUUUGCACCCUGGAAGGGCAAUGCUGUCACAAGGCAGUUUUUUUUUCACCAUGGGAAUAAAUAUACUGCCAGGCAGGGAGUGAGCAGAAGAUUAGGACGGUGGUGCAGAAUGAUGGCCAUCAACCCUGCAUGUCAACGGCUUCAUUCAGUCAAAAAUGUUUAAAUGGAGGACUUCACAAAGAGGGUCAGUGGCUUGUUUCCGCCACCCACAUGCCCUGCACCAUACUAAAAUGCAUUGUUGGGGAAAGUCACUUUUAAAAGUAAUGCAUUACAAUAUUAUAAAAGUAACUAAUUGCGUUACUUUUUAUGGAAAGUAAUGCGUUACUUUACUUUUGCUUUACUUUUUAUCUCUGGGAAGGGGUUGCUUGUGUUUUUAAUAGAAAAGUUUCAUUUUGGCAAAUGUAAAAGCCUUUUCACACCAAAAGCCCCAGGCUUUGAGAAAAGUAAAUUCACGUCUGUACAGUAGACCGCUGAAGAAAAAAUGUCAACUCUUCAGAAAUAAAAAAGGAAA